rnacentral:misc_RNA from 1 species
AACGAGGCCGACCUGCGGCUGAGUUACCUGCGGAGGGAUCAUUACCGAGUGUGGUCCCAUAAGGGGCGCCUCCCGUCCUUUGCAGGGCCUUUAGGGGCUUUUUGACUUUGCUUCGGCGGGCUUGUCCCGCCGGAACACCCUCAAGAAAAUCUUUACGAACCGUUUGUCUGAGUUUGCUUGCGAAUAAAACAAAACUUUUAGCAACGGAUCU